AGUGAACGCUGGCGGUAGGCCUAACACAUGCAAGUCGAACGGCAGCACAGUAAGAGCUUGCUCUUACGGGUGGCGAGUGGCGGACGGGUGAGGAAUACAUCGGAAUCUACUUUUUCGUGGGGGAUAACGUAGGGAAACUUACGCUAAUACCGCAUACGACCUACGGGUGAAAGCAGGGGAUCUUCGGAUCUUGCGCGAUUGAAUGAGCCGAUGUCGGAUUAGCUAGUUGGCGGGGUAAAGGCCCACCAAGGCGACGAUCCGUAGCUGGUCUGAGAGGAUGAUCAGCCACACUGGAACUGAGACACGGUCCAGACUCCUACGGGAGGCAGCAGUGGGGAAUAUUGGACAAUGGGCGCAAGCCUGAUCCAGCCAUACCGCGUGGGUGAAGAAGGCCUUCGGGUUGUAAAGCCCUUUUGUUGGGAAAGAAAAGCAGCAGGUUAAUACCCCGCUGUUCUGACGGUACCCAAAGAAUAAGCACCAGCUAACUUCGUG
rnacentral:rRNA from 1 species